rnacentral:rRNA from 1 species
AGCAGCCGCGGUAAUUCCAGCUCCAAUAGCGUAUAUUAAAGUUGUUGCAGUUAAAAAGCUCGUAGUUGAAUUUCGGGAUUGACACAUCGGUCGUGCCUUAAGGGGUAUGAACUGGUGUAGUCAAUUUCUCACCUUCUGGAGAACCGCGAUGCCCUUAAUUGGGUGUCACGGGGAACCAGGACCUUUACUUUGAAAAAAUUAGAGUGUUUAAAGCAGGCAUUUUGCUUGAAUACAUUAGCAUGGAAUAAUAAAAUAGGACGGCAUGAUUCUAUUUUGUUGGUUUCUAGGAUCACCGUAAUGAUUAAUAGGGAUAGUUGGGGGCAUUAGUAUUCAAUUGUCAGAGGUGAAAUUCUUGGAUUUAUUGAAGACUAACUACUGCGAAAGCAUUUGCCAAGGAUGUUUUCAUUAAUCAAGAACGAAAGUUAGGGGAUCGAAGACGAUCAGAUACCGUCGUAGUCUUAACCAUAAACUAUG